UCGUAGCCUAGAUUUGA
rnacentral:siRNA from 1 species